AAUUAAUCUUUGUAAUUCCUCCCCUUCUGUCUAGUAGGCUAAGAGAACAGCCAAUAGUCAUUUAGGAGUAGACUAGCCACCCCGGGCAACUCGUUGGAUCACAUUUUGUGAAAAGAUGGAUGAAGCAAUCGAAAAUAACUAGACUCAUACAACGAGCUGCCGAGCCGCCAAUCAACCAUCUACACCUGCGUGAUUCACGCAAGGCAAUGUUGUGUUUGUGCAGAAUUCGGGAUUGAGGUUUUUGAUCAUAACAGCUUCGUGAAUCGAUUAUCGUCAAUUAUAACGUGAAAGAAGACAAUGGAGGAGGUGGAGGUGGAGCGGGAUGCGUCGCAGACUGAGCCCUCUGAAGAGUCAGGGUUCACUGGUGACAGACGACCGAGUCUUGUAAAACUACGAGGGAUGCUGAGGAGAGUCUCCCAAAGUCCCUUCCAGAAACAGUACAAGAAUCUUAUCCAGUCCACAUCCAGUGAAUCGUCUGUGAAUGACUCUCAGAGUGAAGAGAUGGACAAGACUCCAUGGAAUCCGUUCCACUCUGGUUCAGAGGUACCAUCUGCUGUCGGAUACAC